CCUGAGAUCGGACGAGAUUACCCGCUG
rnacentral:rRNA from 3 species